rnacentral:rRNA from 1 species
AUUGAACGCUGGCGGCAUGCCUUACACAUGCAAGUCGAACGGUAACAGGUCUUCGGAUGCUGACGAGUGGCGAACGGGUGAGUAAUACAUCGGAACGUGCCCAGUAAUGGGGGAUAGCCCGGCGAAAGCCGGAUUAAUACCGCAUACGCCCUGAGGGGGAAAGUGGGGGACCGCAAGGCCUCCCGGUAUUGGAGCGGCCGAUGGCUGAUUAGCUAGUUGGUGAGGUAAAGGCUCACCAAGGCGACGAUCAGUAGCUGGUCUGAGAGGACGAUCAGCCACACUGGGACUGAGACACGGCCCAGACUCCUACGGGAGGCAGCGGUGGGGAAUUUUGGACAAUGGGGGAAACCCUGAUCCAGCUAUGCCGCGUGUGCAAAGAAGGCCUUCGGGUUGUAAAGCACUUUUGUCAGGGAAGAAAUCCUUUGGGCUAAUACCCUAGGGGGAUGACGGUACCUGAAGAAUAAGCACCGGCUAACUACGUGCCAGCCGCCGCGGUAAAAC